AUUGAACGCUGGCGGCAUGCCUUACACAUGCAAGUCGAACGGUAACGGGCCUUCGGGUGCCGACGAGUGGCGAACGGGUGAGUAAUACAUCGGAACGUGCCCAAUCGUGGGGGAUAACGAGGCGAAAGCUUUGCUAAUACCGCAUACGAUCUACGGAUGAAAGCAGGGGACCGCAAGGCCUUGCGCGGACGGAGCGGCCGAUGGCAGAUUAGGUAGUUGGUGGGAUAAAAGCUUACCAAGCCGACGAUCUGUAGCUGGUCUGAGAGGAUGAUCAGCCACACUGGGACUGAGACACGGCCCAGACUCCUACGGGAGGCAGCAGUGGGGAAUUUUGGACAAUGGGCGCAAGCCUGAUCCAGCCAUGCCGCGUGCAGGAUGAAGGCCUUCGGGUUGUAAACUGCUUUUGUACGGAACGAAAAGCCUUCUUUUAAUACGGGAGGGUCAUGACGGUACCGUAAGAAUAAGCACCGGCUAACUACGUG
rnacentral:rRNA from 1 species